AUUGAACGCUGGCGGCAGGCCUAACACAUGCAAGUCGAACGGUAACAGGAAGACGCUUGCUUCUUUGCUGACGAGUGGCGGACGGGUGAGUAAUGUCUGGGAAACUGCCUGAUGGAGGGGGAUAACUACUGGAAACGGUAGCUAAUACCGCAUAACGUCGCAAGACCAAAGAGGGGGACCUUCGGGCCUCUUGCCAUCGGAUGUGCCCAGAUGGGAUUAGCUAGGGGGUGGGGUAACGGCUCACCUAGGCGACGAUCCCUAGCUGGUCUGAGAGGAUGACCAGCCACACUGGAACUGAGACACGGUCCAGACUCCUACGGGAGGCAGCAGUGGGGAAUAUUGCACAAUGGGCGCAAGCCUGAUGCAGCCAUGCCGCGUGUAUGAAGAAGGCCUUCGGGUUGUAAAGUACUUUCAGCGGGGAGGAAGGGAGUAAAGUUAAUACCUUUGCUCAUUGACGUUACCCGCAGAAGAAGCACCGGCUAACUCCGUG
rnacentral:rRNA from 1 species